UCGUCAGGUGGGAUAAUCCUUACCUGUUUCUCCUUAUAGAGAACAGAUUAGAAAAAAAUCUUUGAUAUAGUUCACUUGCUCAUUAAUAUAAGGGGGAAAUGUGAC
rfam:Otolemur garnettii contig122682, whole genome shotgun sequence.